CCACAGCCUGGAGUUCAAUCCCAAUGGGGCUCGAGGUUGACUCAAGUCUUCCAUCCUUCUAAGGUUAAUUCCGCUCACUGCCAAAAGAUCGAUCCUGACCAGCUCAAAGUUGACUCAGCCUUUCAUCCUUCUGAGGUGAAAGUUCUGUGAGAAACUGGACAAGCUAUUUGAGAAGAAGUCUUAAGAAAGGAUGGGUGAAAAAAAUGGUCUACUGCCCACUGACA